AGGACGACGCUGGCGGUGUGCUUCACACAUGCAAGUCGAACGGAGUAGCAAUACUCAGUGGCGAACGGGUGAGGAAUGCAUGGGUAACCUACCUCGAGUGGGGAAUAACUAGCCGAAAGGUUAGCUAAUACCGCAUACGUUUCCGGAACUUCGGUUUCGGAAAGAAAGCAAUACCGUGGGUAUUGCGCUCCUGGAUGGGCUCAUGUCCUAUCAGCUUGUUGGUGAGGUAACGGCUCACCCAAGGCUUCGACGGGUAGCUGGUCUGAGAGGACGAUCAGCCACACUGGCACUGCGACACGGGCCAGACUCCUACGGGAGGCAGCAGUAAGGAAUAUUGCGCAAUGGACGAAAGUCUGACGCAGCGACGCCGCGUGGGGGAUGAAGGUCUUCGGAUUGUAAACCCCUUUCGGGAGGGAAGAUGGAGUGGGUAACCACUUGGACGGUACCUCCAGAAGCAGCCACGGCUAACUUCGUG
rnacentral:rRNA from 1 species